rnacentral:rRNA from 1 species
CAGUAGCCGCGGGAAUACGUAGGUGGCAAGCGCUGUCCGGAAUUAUUGGGCGUAAAGGGCUCGCAGGCGGUUUCUUAAGUCUGAUGUGAAAGCCCCCGGCUCAACCGGGGAGGGUCAUUGGAAACUGGGAAACUUGAGUGCAGAAGAGGAGAGUGGAAUUCCACGUGUAGCGGUGAAAUGCGUAGAGAUGUGGAGGAACACCAGUGGCGAAGGCGACUCUCUGGUCUGUAACUGACGCUGAGGAGCGAAAGCGUGGGGAGCGAACAGGAUUAGAUACCCGUGUAGUCCCUGUCUCUUAUAC